rnacentral:lncRNA from 1 species
GUGCGCGCUCUUCGUUAUUUAUCUUCCCUAUUGAACAUACUAUUCUCCAUCUUAAAUUUGAUCGUUUAUUUACAUAUUAGAGUACCUGAGGAUUAAUUAGAAACAUCGUUUGACUUGUUUGGACGAACUUUACCAGUAACUUUUUGGAUUCAUUUGCAUUUGGAUUAGUGAAGUCAAUGGCGUCAACUAAACAGACUUUUUUGGAUAUAAAGAAUGACUUUAUCAAACAAAACAACCAUUCAUUGUGUAGCUGGGACCCUUGGGAUUGCAAACAGAGGAAGAUCUUCAAAGGUCAUGCAUCGCUUUGAACAAGAUCCCAAACCAGAUGUCAACCACUCUAACAAAGGACUUCCCGGGCCUCUGAGAAUCAAAAACAGAUAUCAACCACUCUAACAAAGGACUUCCCAGGCCUCUGAGAAUCCCAAACCAGAUGUCAACCACUCUAACAAAGGACUUCCCGGGCCUCUGAGAAUCCCAAACCAGAUGUCAACCACUCUAACAAAGGACUUCCCGGGCCUCUGAGAAUCCCAAACCAGAUGUCAACCACUCUAACAAAGGACUUCCCAGGCCUCUGAGAAUCCCAAACCAG